AACAGCUCAAAUUUGAAAUCUGGCCCUAGGCCCGAGUUGUAAUUUGCAGAGGAUGCUUUUGGUGCGGUGCCUUCCAAGUUCCCUAGAACGGGACGCCAGAGAGGGUGAGAGCCCCGUACAGUUGGACACCAAGCCUUUGUAAAGCUCCUUCGACGAGUCGAGUAGUUUGGGAAUGCUGCUCAAAAUGGGAGGUAUAUUUCUUCUAAAGCUAAAUACCGGCCAGAGACCGAUAGCGCACAAGUAGAGUGAUCGAAAGAUGAAAAGCACUUUGAAAAGAGGGUUAAACAGCACGUGAAAUUGUUAAAAGGGAAGCGCUUGUGACCAGACUUGCGUCCGGUGAAUCACCCAGCUCUCGCGGCUGGGGCACUUCGCCGGCUCAGGCCAGCAUCAGCUCGCUGUCGGGGACAAAAGCUUCAGGAACGUAGCUCUCUUCGGGGAGUGUUAUAGCCUGUUGCAUAAUACCCUUCGGCGGGCUGAGGUACGCGCUCCGCAAGGAUGCUGGCAUAAUGGUCAUCAGCGACCCGUCUUGAAACACGGACCAAGGAGUCAACCUUAUGUGCGAGUGUUCGGGUGUCAAACCCCUACGCGUAAUGAAAGUGAACGCAGGUGAGAGCUUCGGCGCAUCAUCGACCGAUCCUGAUGUUCUCGGAUGGAUUUGAGUAAGAGCAUAUAGGGUUGGACCCGAAAGAAGGUGAACUAUGCGUGUAUAGGGUGAAGCCAGAGGAAACUCUGGUGGAGGCUCGCAGCGGUUCUGACGUGCAAAUCGAUCGUCAAAUAUGCGCAUGGGGGCGAAAGACUAAUCGAACCUUCUAGUAGCUGGUUUCCGCCGAAGUUUCCCUCAGGAUAGCAGUGUUGAACUCAGUUUUAUGAGGUAAAGCGAAUGAUUAGGGACUCGGGGGCGCUAUAUUGCCUUCAUCCAUUCUCAAACUUUAAAUAUGUAAGAAGCCCUUGUUGCUUAAUUGAACGUGGGCAUUCGAAUGUAUCAACACUAGUGGGCCAUUUUUGGUAAGCAGAACUGGCGAUGCGGGAUGAACCGAACGCGAGGUUAAGGUGCCAGAGUAGACGCUCAUCAGACACCACAAAAGGUGUUAGUACAUCUUGACAGCAGGACGGUGGCCAUGGAAGUCGGAAUCCGCUAAGGACUGUGUAACAACUCACCUGCCGAUGUACUAGCCCUGAAAAUGGAUGGCGCUCAAGCGUCUCACCCAUACCUCGCCCUCA
rnacentral:rRNA from 1 species